UACGAGAGGCAGCAGUGGGGAAUUUUGGACAAUGGGCGCAACCCUGAUCCAGCCAUUCCGCGUGCAGGAAGAAGGCCUUCGGGUUGUAAAUCUCUUUUGUCCGGAAAGAAAGGGCUGGGGAUAAUACCUGGGGCUCAUGACGGUACCGUAAGAAUAAGCCCCGGCUAACUACGUCCCAGCAGCCGCGGUAAUACGUAGGGCGCAAGCGUUUAUCGGAAUUACUGGGCGUAAAGCGUGCGCAGGCGGUUAUGAAAGACAGAUGUGAAAUCCCCGGGCUCAACCUGGGAACUGCUUUUGAGACUGCAGCUCUAGAGUGCGACAGAGGGGGGUGGAAUUCCGCGUGUAGCAGUAAAAUGCGUAGAUAUGGGGAGGAACACCGAUGGCGAAGGCAAUCCCCUGGGCCUGCACAGACGCUCAUGCAAGAAAGCGGGGGGAGCAAACAGGAUUAGAUCCCCUGGUAGUCCACGCCCUAAACGAUGUCAACUGGGUGUUGGGUCUUCACUGACUCAGUAACGAAGCUAACGCGUGAAGUG
rnacentral:rRNA from 1 species